UCGCCAAACAACUACGAGUGAAAACUUAAAACUUAAAGGACUUGACGGUACUUCACACCCAACCUAGAGGAGCCUGUCUAUUAACCGAUAAUCCACGAUUAACCCAACCAUUUCUAGCCAUCCAGCCUAUAUACCGCCGUCGCCAGCCUACCUUAUGAAAGAAACAAAGUAAGCCAAAUAGUAACACACUAACACGACAGGUCGAGGUGUAACUAAUGAAAUGGACCAAGAUGGGCUACAUUAUCUAACACAGAUAAUACAAAUAAAGCUAUGAAACUAGCUAUUGAAGGCGGAUUUAGCAGUAAGUUAAGAACAUAAUACUCAACUGAAACCGAUGCAAUGAAGUGCGU
rnacentral:rRNA from 1 species